GACGAACGCUGGCGGCGUGCUUAACACAUGCAAGUCGAACGGAAAGGCCCUGCUUUUGUGGGGUGCUCGAGUGGCGAACGGGUGAGUAACACGUGAGUAACCUGCCCUUGACUUUGGGAUAACUUCAGGAAACUGGGGCUAAUACCGGAUAGGAGCUCCUGCUGCAUGGUGGGGGUUGGAAAGUUUCGGCGGUUGGGGAUGGACUCGCGGCUUAUCAGCUUGUUGGUGGGGUAGUGGCUUACCAAGGCUUUGACGGGUAGCCGGCCUGAGAGGGCGACCGGCCACAUUGGGACUGAGAUACGGCCCAGACUCCUACGGGAGGCAGCAGUGGGGAAUAUUGCACAAUGGGCGGAAGCCUGAUGCAGCAACGCCGCGUGCGGGAUGACGGCCUUCGGGUUGUAAACCGCUUUCGCCUGUGACGAAGCGUGAGUGGCGGUAAUGGGUAAAGAAGCACCGGCUAACUACGUG
rnacentral:rRNA from 1 species